UUAAUAUCAAUGCUCAUAAUUUGAAAAUAUUACCAAAUUGGUCUGUUUAUUGUGUAGGCUAUGCACCUAUGGAUGCAUACCUCCCCACACGGUUGCUGUACAACUAGUGCUAUCUGUAUGGUACAUAUCCUUGAAGGAUAUUUUAUGCAUAUAUGAGUAAAAAUGUGUGUGCAUAACUGCUUUUUUACAUUUCAUAAUAUAUUGGAAAUCAUUCCAUAGAAAUUUUUAAGGAAUGAAGUACCACAAACUAAAUGGUCAAACAGCAGAAACUUCUUGUCUCACAAUUCUGGAGGCUAGAAGUCCAAGAUCAAGAUGUUGGCAGAACUGUGUUCCCUCUGAAGUGGCUCCUUCUUUCCUCUCCCUUCCAACCUGUGAUAGCCCUGAGUCUUUCCUCGGGUGGCAGCAGCAUCUCUUCAACAUCUGCCUUGCAGAUCUGGAAAUUACUUCUCUGAAAGCCAGACUGCCUCGUGGACCACUCCUUAAAAGACCCAGGGCUCCUCCCAGCUGACCCUGAAGAGGGAAGACCCAAAUUCCAUCUCAGCAGGACAACCGUGUUGUUACUUGAACCCCACUGAAGAUCACUGUUGAGUGUAACAUUCCUCCACUAACCAGAGAAAGACAGAGGGAGGUCUCCUGAGGAUAGUUCCUUCUCUCUCCAUCAUCAGCAUGCACUUAUGGUUAGACGUUGUAACCUUUGUUGCCUUCUUUGGCUCAAGAUGAAUGUACUCCCUCUAUUCUAUUGAGUCUUAGAAGGAUGAAAGGUACUUUGAAGGAAAAAGAACCUGAUUCUAUUUCACUUUGAAACUAUAAAUGUAUUUCUUAAUUCAGAUUAAGGCAGAUAAAUUGGUAGAGAAUUUGAUGCCAUUUUCAACCCAUAGGAGUUUCUCACUGAGUUCCCAUAGAUCUUGUUUAGCCUUUAGAAUGUUCUGUUGUAGUAUUUAAAAUACAUAGUAUAUAAUUUUUUCCCUAAUAAACAGUGAGUUCUUCUGAGAUAUGAUAUAUGA
rnacentral:lncRNA from 12 species